rnacentral:rRNA from 1 species
AUUGAACGCUGGCGGCAGGCCUAACACAUGCAAGUCGAGCGAGCGGCGGACGGGUGAGUAAUGUCUGGGAAACUGCCUGAUGGCGGGGGAUAACUACUGGAAACGGUAGCUACUCCCGCAUACCAUCAGAUGUGCCCAGAUGGGAUUAGCUAGUAGGUGGGGUAACGGCUAACCUAGGCGACGCUCCCUAGCUGGUCUGAGAGGAUGACCAGCCACACUGGAACUGAGAAACGGUCCAGACUCCGACGGGAGGCAGCAGUGGGGAAUAUUGCACAAUUGGCGCAAGCCUGAUGCAGCCAUGCCGCGUGUGUGAAGAAGGCCUUAGGGUUGUAAAUCACUUUCAGCGGGGAGGCUUUACCCGCAGAAGAAACACCAGCUGACGCCGGGACAGCAGCCGCGGUAAUAC